AUGGCGGAUGCACCUCUUUACAAGCAGCACCGCAGGUACACCAGGGAGCUCCACGACGUCGACCUCCACGACAACCACAAGCUCCACGUCGUUUGCACAAGCAAGGGUGAAGACGUGGACAAGAUGUUGUCCACACUCAGGAGGAAGAUUGGCAGAAUGCCCGUCAAACUAGUCGAUGUUGAUGUCGAGUACACGCACUACGUGAAGCCACAGCUAAUGGAACUAGACAAAUUCCUCAUGAAUGGUGAGUACACCUUCGUCGGAUUCGCAAUUGAAGGAGACAAAAGCAAGCUCAAGCUAUCUGGUUUGGAGAUCAACUACGACAACUACAUUGAUAUUCAGCUGGAACGGAGAGACCCAUACAAUAAAAAGAAGUUUGACUCUUUGGCUGAUGUUGCCGGCAGGAUGAUAGACAUUCACUACCAUGACAUGAAGAAAAAAAUUAACCGCAAGGAGGACCAUACUCUAUGGGGAUUUUGCCCACUACCAGAAAAGCUUAUCAAGUAUGCAGCAAUAGAUGCAUUCGCAACAUAUGAGUCAUGGAGAAUCAUC
rnacentral:rRNA from 1 species